UGGGGAAUAUUGGACAAUGGGCGCAAGCCUGAUCCAGCCAUGCCGCGUGGAUGAUGAAGGCCUUAGGGUUGUAAAGUCCUUUCGACGGGGAAGAUAAUGACGGUACCCGUAGAAGAAGCCCCGGCUAACUUCGUGCCAGCAGCCGCGGUAAUACGAAGGGGGCUAGCGUUGCUCGGAAUCACUGGGCGUAAAGCGCACGUAGGCGGCUUUUUAAGUCAGGGGUGAAAUCCUGGAGCUUAACUCCAGAACUGCCUUUGAUACUGAAAAGCUAGAGUCCGGAAGAGGUGAGUGGAACUGCGAGUGUAGAGGUGAAAUUCGUAGAUAUUCGCAAGAACACCAGUGGCGAAGGCGGCUCACUGGUCCGGUACUGACGCUGAGGUGCGAAAGCGUGGGGAGCAAACAG
rnacentral:rRNA from 1 species